rnacentral:lncRNA from 1 species
GAAUUUGUUGACAAAUUUCUCAGUGAAGCACGGGUCAAAACUCCAACUGAUCAAAUGCAAAGGAUGGUUUUCUCAAAAUCGACUAAGUUUCCAUAUUUGAAUUUCGACAUUGAAACCUUAAUUGGUCAAAUGAAAUUGACCAUUUAUUUAAAAUCGACCGGAUUACCCUAAAAAGGGAAACGAGUCAAAUGAAUUGAGUGAAAUUUAGAAACUUACUCAAAAUUGACCGGAUUAUCCUAAAAAGGGAACUUGGUCAAAUGAAUUAAAUGAAAUCGAGAAUUUAUUCAAAAUUGACCGGAUCGCCCUAAAAGGGUAAACUGGUCAAAUGAAUCGGACGAAAUUAAUGAUUUACUCGAAAUCGAUAAGAUCGCCCUAAGAAUGGAAAAAUUGGUGAUUUAUUCAGAAAAUCGACUAGAUUGCCCUAAAAAUGGGUGAAUUGGCCAAAUGAAAUGAAAUGAAGAUUUAUUCAAAAAUCGACCAGAUGACCC